ACCUCUGCAAUAGGCGAAAGCCUGACAGGGUUACUCUGAGUGAUUUUCGUUAAGAAAGUCUUUUGGCACCUCUAAAAAUGGUGCAGAAUAAGGGGUGGGCAAGUCUGGUGUCAGCCGCAGCGGUAAUACCAGCACCCCGAGUGGUCGGGACGAUUAUUGGGCCUAAAGCAUCCGUAGCCGGUUCUGCAAGUCUCCCGUUAAAUCCAACUGCUCAACAGGUGGGCUGCGGAGGAUACUACAGAGCUAGGAGGCAGGAGAGGCAAGCGGUACUCAGUGGGUAGGGGUAAAAUCCGUUGAUCCAUUGAAGACCACCAGUGGCGAAGGCGGCUUGCCAGAAUGCGCUCGACGGUGAGGGAUGAAAGCUGGGGGAGCAAACCGGAUUAGAUACCCGGGUAGUCCCAGCCGUAAACGAUGCAGACUCGGUGAUGGGUUGGCUUCGCGCUAACCCAGUGCCGCAGGGAAGCCGUUAAGUCUGCCGCCUGGGUAGUACGGUCGCAAGACUGAAACUUAA
rnacentral:rRNA from 1 species